GCUGUGCACAGUGGCACGUGCCUAUAGUCUCAGCUACUCGGGAGGCUGAGGCAGGAGGAUCACCUGAGCCCAGGAAUUCCGGCUGCAGUGCACUAUGCCAAUCAGGUGUUCGCACUAAAUUCAGCAUCAAUAUGGUGGCCUCCACCAGGUUGCCCAAGGAGGGGGGGCGGUGAACCGGCCCAGGUGGGAAAAGGGACAGGUGAAAAUUGUCAUGCUGAUCAGUAACGAGAUCGCGCCUGUGAAUAGCCACUUGCACUCCAGCCUGAGUGACAGAGUGAGACGCUGUGUUUU
rfam:Pan troglodytes isolate Yerkes chimp pedigree #C0471 (Clint) chromosome 17, whole genome shotgun sequence.